rnacentral:rRNA from 1 species
AUUGAACGCUGGCGGCAGGCCUAACACAUGCAAGUCGAACGAGAGGCGGACGGGUGAGAUAUGUCUGUGACACUGCCUGAUGGAGGGCGACAACUAAUGGAAACGGUAGCUAAUACCGCAUACAAUCAGAUCUGCCGAGAUGGGAUUAGCGAGUUGGUGGGGUAAUGGCGCACCAAGGCGACGAUCCCUAGCUGGGCUGAGAGGAUGACCAGCCACACUGGGACGGAGACACGGACCAGACUCCUACGGGAGGCAGCAGUGGGGAAUAUUGGACAAUGGGCGAAAGCCUGAUGCAGCCAUGCCGCGUGUGUGAAGAAGGCCUUCGGGUUGUAAAGCACUUUCAGCUAGGAGGCGUUACUCGCAGAAUAAGCACCGGCUAACUCCGUGCCAGCAGCCGCGGUAAUAC